AGUUUGAUCAUGGCUCAGGAUGAACGCUGGCGGCGUGCCUAAUACAUGCAAGUCGAACGAAGCUAGCUUGCUAGUUAGUGGCGAACGGGUGAGUAAUACAUAAGCAACCUGCCUCUAUGCCUGGGAUAACAGAUGGAAACGUCUGCUAAUACCGGAUACGUUAAUAAGACAUCUUGAUUAAUUAAAGUUGGAUACAACACAAAGAGAUGGGCUUAUGGCGCAUUAGUUAGUUGGUGAGGUAACGGCUCACCAAGACGAUGAUGCGUAGCCGACCUGAGAGGGUGACCGGCCACACUGGGACUGAGACACGGCCCAGACUCCUACGGGAGGCAGCAGUAGGGAAUUUUCGGCAAUGGGGGAAACCCUGACCGAGCAACGCCGCGUGAGUGAAGAAGGCCUUCGGGUUGUAAAGCUCUGUUGUAAGGGAAGAACAAGUAUGAGGAAUCUCGUACUAUGACGGUACCUUACCAGAAAGCCACGGCUAACUACGUGCCAGCAGCCGCGGUAAUACGUAGGUGGCGAGCGUUAUCCGGAAUUAUUGGGCGUAAAGGGAGCGCACGCGGUUUAUUAAGUUUAUGGUGAAAGUUCGGGGCUUAACCCCGUGAUGCCAUAGAAACUGGUAGACUAGAGUGCAGAGAGGUUAGUGGAAUUCCAUGUGUAGCGGUAAAUGCGUAGAUAUAUGGAGGAACACCAGUGGCGAA
rnacentral:rRNA from 1 species